CCUACGGGAGGCUGCAGUGGGGAAUAUUGCGCAAUGGGCGAAAGCCUGACGCAGCGACGCCGCGUGAGGGAUGAAGGUCUUCGGAUCGUAAACCUCUGUCAGCAGGGAAGAACGGUCACUGUGCUAAUCAGCAGUGAAUUGACGGUACCUGCAAAGGAAGCACCGGCUAACUCCGUGCCAGCAGCCGCGGUAAUACGGAGGGUGCGAGCGUUAAUCGGAGUUAUUGGGCGUAAAGUGCGCGUAGGCGGUAUGUCAAGUCAAGGGUGAAAUCCCCGCGCUCAACGUGGGAACUGCCUUUGAAACUGGCAACCUGGAGUGUGUGAGAGGGUAGUGGAAUUCCAGGUGUAGGCGUGAAAUCCGUAGAUAUCUGGAGGAACAUCAGUGGCGAAGGCGGCUGUCUGGCACAUAACUGACGCUGAGGAGCGAAAGCGUGGGUAGCAAACAGGAUUAGAUACCCUUGUAGUC
rnacentral:rRNA from 1 species